UUGGUCGUCGCCCUUACGCGGUUAACCACCCUCGGACCUCAGUGGCUGAUUGGAUUUUAUAGCAUUGAUAAUCCAAAGAAAAUGCAUGAACUUUAGUCAUGGAUCACAAUAGCACUCCAGCUAAAAAAGGCCCUCUAAUAUCAUAACUGGAAGAGCAUAAAAAACUUACCCAACUGAGCCUGAGCUUGGAGAUGGAAACUGCAGCCACUCAUUGAAGAGCAAGCCUAGGAAAUUAGUAAAGAAUAUGAUUAUGGGAGUCUGGCGGUGAAAGCAAGCAUAAUAAUAACCAUUCUCAGUAAAGCAACUUCCUUCCUCCUAAAGGCAGAACUGGGCCACUUGUGUGCUUGCUUGCGGUCACAAUUUGGCUUCUAAUACACCUAACCCACUAUUUGAAUUCAAGUUGGAGUGUCAAACUGAUAAUUCACAGGCACACAUGUCGGCACUGAGAAUACAGAAGAAUACAGAAGAGUAAGACUGGGAAUACACUUUUAGUUAAUCUGUUCUUCU
rnacentral:lncRNA from 1 species